rnacentral:rRNA from 1 species
ACCCCGGAAGGGGAGUGAAAGAGAACUUGAAACCGUGUGCUUACAAGUAGUCAGAGCCCGUUUAUGGGUGAUGGCGUGCCUUUUGUAGAAUGAACCGGCGAGUUACGAUCUGAUGCAAGGUUAAGCAGCGAAUGUGGAGCCGUAGCGAAAGCGAGUCUGAAUAGGGCGUUGAGUAUUUGGUCGUAGACCCGAAACCAGGUGAUCUACCCUUGGUCAGGUUGAAGUUCAGGUAACACUGAAUGGAGGACCGAACCGACUUACGUUGAAAAGUGAGCGGAUGAACUGAGGGUAGCGGAGAAAUUCCAAUCGAACUUGGAGAUAGCUGGUUCUCUCCGAAAUAGCUUUAGGGCUAGCCUCAAGUGAUGAUUAUUGGAGGUAGAGCACUGUUUGGACGAGGGGCCCCUCUCGGGUUACCGAAUUCAGACAAACUCCGAAUGCCAAUCAAUUUAACUUGGGAGUCAGAACAUGGGUGAUAAGGUCCGUGUUCGAAAGGGAAACAGCCCAGACCACCAGCUAAGGUCCCAAAAUAUAUGUUAAGUGGAAAAGGAUGUGGCGUUGCCCAGACAACUAGGAUGUUGGCUUAGAAGCAGCCAUCAUUUAAAGAGUGCGUAAUAGCUCACUAGUCGAGUGACACUGCGCCGAAAAUGUACCGGGGCUAAACAUAUUACCGAAGCUGUGGAUUGUCCUUCGGACAAUGGUAGGAGAGCGUUCUAAGGGCGUUGAAGCAUGAUCGCAAGGACAUGUGGAGCGCUUAGAAGUGAGAAUGCCGGUGUGAGUAGCGAAAGACGGGUGAGAAUCCCGUCCACCGAUUGACUAAGGUUUCCAGAGGAAGGCUCGUCCGCUCUGGGUUAGUCGGGUCCUAAGCUGAGGCCGACAGGCGUAGGCGAUGGAUAACAGGUUGAUAUUCCUGUACCACCUAGUAUCGUUUUAAUCGAUGGGGGGACGCAGUAGGAUAGGCGAAGCGUGCUGUUGGAGUGCACGUCCAAGCAGUAAGGCUGAGUGUUAGGCAAAUCCGGCACUCGUUAGGCUGAGCUGUGAUGGGGAGAGGAAAUUGUUUCCUCGAGUCGUUGAUUUCACACUGCCGAGAAAAGCCUCUAGAUAGAUAACAGGUGCCCGUACCGCAAACCGACACAGGUAGUCAAGAUGAGAAUUCUAAGGUGAGCGAGCGAACUCUCGUUAAGGAACUCGGCAAAAUGACCCCGUAACUUCGGGAGAAGGGGUGCUCUUUAGGGUUCACGCCCAGAAGAGCCGCAGUGAAUAGGCCCAAGCGACUGUUUAUCAAAAACACAGGUCUCUGCUAAACCGUAAGGUGAUGUAUAGGGGCUGACGCCUGCCCGGUGCUGGAAGGUUAAGAGGAGUGGUUAGCUUCUGCGAAGCCACGAAUCGAAGCCCCAGUAAACGGCGGCCGUAACUAUAACGGUCCUAAGGUAGCGAAAUUCCUUGUCGGGUAAGUUCCGACCCGCACGAAAGGCGUAACGAUUUGGGCACUGUCUCAACGAGAGACUCGGUGAAAUCAUAGUACCUGUGAAGAUGCAGGUUACCCGCGACAGGACGGAAAGACCCCGUGGAGCUUUACUGUAGCCUGAUAUUGAAAUUCGGCACAGCUUGUACAGGAUAGGUAGGAGCCAUUGAAACGUGAGCGCUAGCUUACGUGGAGGCGUUGGUGGGAUACUACCCUAGCUGUGUUGGCUUUCUAACCCGCACCACUUAUCGUGGUGGGAGACAGUGUCAGGCGGGCAGUUUGACUGGGGCGGUCGCCUCCUAAAAGGUAACGGAGGCGCUCAAAGGUUCCCUCAGAAUGGUUGGAAAUCAUUCACAGAGUGUAAAGGCAUAAGGGAGCUUGACUGCGAGACCUACAAGUCGAGCAGGGUCGAAAGACGGACUUAGUGAUCCGGUGGUUCCGCAUGGAAGGGCCAUCGCUCAACGGAUAAAAGCUACCCCGGGGAUAACAGGCUUAUCUCCCCCAAGAGUUCACAUCGACGGGGAGGUUUGGCACCUCGAUGUCGGCUCAUCGCAUCCUGGGGCUGUAGUCGGUCCCAAGGGUUGGGCUGUUCGCCCAUUAAAGCGGUACGCGAGCUGGGUUCAGAACGUCGUGAGACAGUUCGGUCCCUAUCCGUCGUGGGCGUAGGAAAUUUGAGAGGAGCUGUCCUUAGUACGAGAGGACCGGGAUGGACAUACCUCUGGUGUACCAGUUGUCGUGCCAACGGCAUAGCUGGGUAGCUAUGUAUGGACGGGAUAAGUGCUGAAAGCAUCUAAGCAUGAAGCCCCCCUCAAGAUGAGAUUUCCCAACUUCGGUUAUAAGAUCCCUCGAAGAUGACGAGGUUAAUAGGUUCGAGGUGGAAGCGUGGUGACACGUGGAGCUGACGAAUACUAAUCGAUCGAAGACUUAAUCAA